AGUAAAAGUCGUAACAAGGUUUCCGUAGGUGAACCUGCGGAAGGAUCAUUAACGUAUCUCUGACGGCGAGGGCGAGCCCCGCUCUGGACCGAAAGGCCUGUCGAGCGGGCGACCCCGAGUCGCUCAACCUUUACAAACCCACCGUGCACUCUUGUCGGCGGUAGGGGCUUUGCGGCCCCGAUGCCGGUUCACAAACACCGAAACGUUUGAAGAAUGUCUAGCGGACUCCGUUCCGCCUAAAUAUUUAACAACUUUCAACAACGGAUCUCUUGGCUCUCGCAUCGAUGAAGAACGCAGCGAAAUGCGAUAAGUAAUGUGAAUUGCAGAAUUCAGUGAAUCAUCGAAUCUUUGAACGCACCUUGCGCUCCUUGGUAUUCCGAGGAGCAUGCCUGUUUGAGUGUCUUGAAGUCAUCAACCCCUCCCGUUUCGUGCGGCUUGCGUGUUGGAGCUGGGGGCUUGCUGCCGAGAGGCGGCUCCCCUCAAAUGCGUCGGUUGGGCCCGCGGGUCGGACUCGAUUGGGCGUUGUACCAUCCUCGCUCUGAACGAGAAGUUCCCCUAUUAGUCGCCCCUCCACGACCAGCCUUCCAGAGUGGCGGUCAAACCAAAACUUUGAAAUCUGACCUCAAAUCAGGUAGGACUACCCGCUGAACUUAAGCAUAUCAAUAAGCGGAGGA
rnacentral:rRNA from 1 species